GUGUCAGCAGCCGCGGUAAUACGUAGGGUGCAAGCGUUAUCCGGAUUUACUGGGUGUAAAGGGCGAGUAGACGGCUAUGCAAGUCAGAUGUGAAAACUUAGGGCUCAACCUUAAGACUGCAUCUGAAACUGUGUAGCUAGAGUGCAGGAGAGGAAAGUGGAAUUCCUAGUGUAGCGGUGAAAUGCGUAGAUAUUAGGAGGAACACCAGUGGCGAAGGCGACUUUCUGGACUGUAACUGACGUUGAGGCGCGAAAGUGUGGGGAGCAAACAGGAUUAGAUACCCUGGUAGUCCACACUGUAAACGAUGGAUACUAGGUGUAGGCACGAAUGUGUCUGUGCCGGCGCAAACGCAAUAAGUAUCCCACCUGGGGAGUACGGCCGCAAGGUUAAA
rnacentral:rRNA from 1 species